rnacentral:rRNA from 1 species
UACGAGUGGUCCAAGCGUUAGUCGGAAUCACUGGGCUUAAAGGGUGCGUAGGCUGGCCUGUAAGUGUCUUGUGAAAUCCCCGGGCUCAACCCGGGAAUUGCAGGGCAUACUGCGGGCCUGGAGGAACCUAGAGGCCGGCGGAACGAUAGGUGGAGCGGUGGAAUGCGUAGAUAUCUAUCGGAACGCCAAAGGUGAAGACAGCCGGCUGGGGGUUUCCUGACGCUGAGGCACGAAAGCGUGGGGAUCAAACAGG